CACGACAAGAUGGCCAUUGGCUUCGUCGUCCCUGAGGUCAGAUCUCCAUCUCAUCUUCUGUAUUUUUUUUAUUCCUGUUCAUUCGCGAUUCAUCUUACUGAAUAUUCUCCUUUUCCUUUUUCUUUGUAUUUUUAUUCCCCCAAAAUCACUAGGAGUUGUCCAAUAAAAUUGUCAUCCUCACCGAUCAACCACACCUUCAAUGUCUCGGCCCUCUAGGGGAUUCAGAUCCAACCAACCU
rnacentral:lncRNA from 1 species